rnacentral:rRNA from 1 species
UACGAAUGGUACAAGUGUUAUUGGAGUGUAUUGGGCGUAAAAGGUACGUAGGCGGCCUCCAAAACUUUUUGUCAAAUGUUGGAGCCCUAUCUACAGCAAGGCAAUUUUAGAUUACGAGGCUGAGAGUUAAUAUUAGGUAGGAAGAAUUUCUAAUCUAACGAUAAGAUGUGCUUAAAAAUUAGAAGGAAUACCAAAAGCGAAGGCAUCUUUCCAAUGUUAACUGACGCUCAGGUACGAAAGAAUGGGUAGCAAAAAGG